rnacentral:tRNA from 1 species
GGCUCGUUGGUCUAGGGGUAUGAUUCUCGCUUAGGGUGCGAGAGGUUCCGGGUCCAAAUCCCGGACGAGCCC